CAGGUUCUUUUCCUCAUUCCAUUCCUUAUAAACAGGACUGUAAUCUUUGUGGUCUGUGCAGAAUAAUGUGUGUUUGCUGUUAAGGGCAGACCAACAUUUCCCAUUCCUCAUAUUCUCCCCAGUUGCAAAGUAUUCCAAAGAGAAGGGGUGGGGGUCAGGUCCCAGGGGUAUGGGCAUAAGACAAGCUCAGAGCACAUAAGAUAUAGGCCUACCGUAAUCGCUUGUUUCCAGUAAGAUUGCUG